GUUUCUGCCUCUCUCUCUCUCUCUCUCUCUCUCUCUCUCUCUGUAUCUAUGAAUAAAUAAAUAAAAAUCUUAAAAAAAAUUGGACUGAUACAGAGAAGAUUAGUGUGGCCCCUGAACAAGGAUGACAUGCAAAUUUGUGAGGAAAUGGGAAAGCAAUAUUG
rnacentral:snRNA from 1 species